AUCCCAUCUCCUUUCUCCUUCCUACCACGCCAGAGCUGUGCCACAGGAGCGGUCUGAGUUGUUCCAAACCAGCUGGCAAAGAGAAGGAUCCAUAUGACAGCCACGCGGGAUGGCAAGGGGGAGAAUUGCCUGGGAAAGCAAACCUGCACAACCUGCCCUUGUCCUUCUUUCUUGGCAAGGUUGAUGCACCUUUUGUAAGGUUGGUGGGAUCUUGAAGGCAAGGGGUUUCUAGAACAACAUUGUGCUGUAACACCAUCCAACAUUUACUUAUGAUGUGGACCCAUAAGGGUGGAUUGUCCUGUAGCUAUUUUCAGCAGUUGCAAACAGGUAAGGAAUAUUGCCUUAAGAGAGUGAAGGUGUGCUACAAGCAUUGACCCUGCAUGAACCGUUUACAACGAGCACAAAGCAACAGGG
rnacentral:lncRNA from 1 species